GCUGGUCGCUGCUCACCCAAUUUCCGCUAGUCUACUCACACAGCUUCGUUGUGGAUCCGUCCCCAUCUCUGUUGCUGGAAUCGCAUCAUAACCGGUAGUCGCGGCUACAUCCCAUCUUAGCACUUUUUCCCUCUGCAACGCGAACCUAUGGUACGUAACUCCGUUUCAGUGUUGGCCUGUCUUUUCUCUUUACUAGAAUAUUAAUUGUACAUUUUACUUUCGUGUUGCAGAGAACUGUAGUUAGUUAACAACAGGAUGGGGAACUACCGCCGUGCUGCUGUGUGAUCGCUGCUGCUUUGUCUACACGACGUUGAUCUCUCAAGCUGUGUUUAGCCCACCACACCGAAUGCAGUAAAUUGUCCCUUUGUUCAGCCUACUGUGUUGGUUGCGUUGUGUUGUCGGCGCAUACAAGCGACCGUAGCCUACAGUGUCCGUCCAAACUCACUAGCUGGCUAGCUAUUAGGCUUAGCGUUACGUUAGACUCGACGUUGUCAUAAGUGUCAUUCUUGACAAUACUCUGUGCUGAUUAAGGUGUCUAACACUCUCACCUCCACCACUGACUUAUGUUUUGAUUUUGUGCUUUGUUUGGUUUUGUACUCUUUUGUUGUGAAUUGCUUUACCCCUGGCAGGAGGCCAUUUCAUAUGCUGCUGAUAACCAGUGUUCCAACACCUGUUGUUUUGUAACUCUUUGGUUUUCUAGUUUGGAUUUGCUUUGCCACUGGCAGGAGGCCAUUUCCCCUGCGCUGCUGAUAACCAGUGUCCCAACACCUCUUACUUUGUAAUGUAUUUCUGGUUUUUUGGUUUGCUUCUUUUGAUUUGCCACUGAUAGGAGGCCAUUUCCAACUGCUGCUGAUCACCAGUGUGCUAGUGUUUGUCAUUGUUAUUUCAUUAUUGUGGUUUUUGCUGUUUAUUAUUUUUGGGGAAAAUCUUUAUUUUAUAUUUUGUUUGUUUAUGUUACAUUGUCAGAAGGCCCUUUAUCCAACUGCUGAGAGCCUAUAUCUUACUCCAAGUUAUUGUACUUGCGUGUGUGUGGUUAAACAGUGUUAAACUAAUUGUCCUCCCUUGUUCUGUCUUUUCCAGGAGCUGAGGCUGACGGUGGAGGGGCUGCUGUCUUCCUAGUGGUGUCCCCUUUCUGGUGUGCUACUAUUCCUCACGGGUGCUGCCGACUUGACCUUUGCUGUGUGUGUGUGUGAGUGCGUGGACACUUUUGCAGUGGUGUGACCUCUUCCAGGACGCCCCCCUCCUUAGUUAGCCAGUCCCCUCGCUGGUAAGCCUCAGUUCCUAUUGUCUGUUGUCCCCCCUUUGUAUGUCUGGUAUACUUGAGAGAAUUGGAGUGCAAUUUUAGGUUCUGUCAAUAAACUAUUG